rnacentral:rRNA from 1 species
UGCCGCAGACAUCACAAGGAUGGCGAAGAUGAGGAUGGAAUGAUAUGCUUUCAGUUUCAUAUUAUCUAUUCUGUUUAUACGCGAAGAACCUUACCAGGUCUUGACAUCUUGCGCCAACCCUAGAGAUAGGGCGUUUCCUUCGGGAACGCAAUGACAGGUGGUGCAUGGUCGUCGUCAGCUCGUGUCGUGAGAUGUUGGGUUAAGUCCCGCAACGAGCGCAACCCUUGUUACUAGUUGCCAGCAUUAAGUUGGGCACUCUAGUGAGACUGCCGGUGACAAACCGGAGGAAGGUGGGGACGACGUCAGAUCAUCAUGCCCCUUAUGACCUGGGCUACACACGUGCUACAAUGGACGGUACAACGAGUCGCGAACUCGCGAGGGCAAGCAAAUCUCUUAAAACCGUUCUCAGUUCGGACUGCAGGCUGCAACUCGCCUGCACGAAGUCGGAAUCGCUAGUAAUCGCGGAUCAGCAUGCCGCGGUGAAUACGUUCCCGGGCCUUGUACACACCGCCCGUCACACCAUGAGAGUUUGUAACACCCAAAGUCGGUGGGGUAACCUUUUAGGAGCCAGCCGCCUAAGGUGGGACAGAUGAUUAGGGUGAAGUCGUAACAAGGUAGCCGUAGGAGAACCUGCGGCUG